rnacentral:lncRNA from 1 species
UUGGGAUCCCCAUGCUCCCUGUGUGUAAAAAAACUGAAACAAUCGACUUCAUCUAUGUUCUUCAAAAGCCAACUCAGUAAUUUCCCAUCGGAGGCAUCCCAUAUGCCGGCAUCGGACCAGGACCCAUCGGAGGCAUACCCAUCCCACCCAUCGGAGGCAUACCCAUCCCACCCAUAGGAGGCAUACCCAUCCCACCAAUCGGGGGUGGACCACCCAUACCAGGUGGAGCAGGCAAGGCCAGAGGGAGCAAUUGAGCGUACAUGUUCUGUAUAACAAAACACAACUUGUCAUGCUGACUGCUUAAACAUGAAUAACAGGACACUGCUUAAACACAACUUGUCACUGUAUAACCCAUAGGAGGAUUAC